AACGCAUAUUGCGCUCGAGGCUUCGGCCAAGAGCAUGUCUGCCUCAGCGUCGGGUUAAUAUCACAUUCCCUACCACCUUGAUUGGUGAUUGGGCUCAAUGUGGACUUGGCUGUUCCAGUUCAGUGCGGGCUAUAGACUAUUGACUUAACAAUCAAUAAGACAUAUGCCCAUCAAGCACCCUGGAUCGGCUGAAGAACAGAGGCUAACAAGGACUCUUUAAGGGUCGCAACUGAGUAGGCACUUGUUGCUAAUUACUUUAGUUGUUGGCCUGAGACCUUCUGUUCAGCCCUCAACCAGGAAAUACUUAUUAACCUAUUAUCUCGACCUGAGCUCAGGCAAGAACACCCGCUGAACUUAA
rnacentral:misc_RNA from 1 species